rnacentral:lncRNA from 1 species
CUAACUCCACACCAGCUUCUUUAAAGAAAGAAACUACUACAGUUGAAAAAAAAAUAUUUAUUAGUGUUAGGAAAAAAAAUAGGAAAUCAAGUAGAAAUUUGGAUUCCAAGAAGAGGACUAAUGACUAAGUUUCAAGUAUUUAUUGUGUGUGGUGUGUUUGAUUCUUUUAUACUUCCUUCUUCCACUUAUUAUCGUUGAGUACGAAAUGUUGAAAAAUAAAUUUGAUUUUGGGUUAUGUAUUUUGGAUUUGGGCUUGCAAGUAUCCAAGUAUAUUAGAUUAAGAUUGUAGUCCAUUAUCUAAAAACUUCUUGUAAUAUGUAGUAGUCAAAGAGUGUAGAAUAAUCUUGUAAAAUAUCUAAGUCUAGAAUUAUCAUGAGAAUACUUAGGAAUUAUCUAGAUACUAGUAGAUGAUGAAGUGUUCUAGACUAUGUGUGUUUGAUUCUUUUAUACUUCCUUCUUCCACUUAUUAUCGUUGAGUACGAAAUUCUUUUUAGAAUCAACUCCAUUUACCUUUAUUUUAAUCUCCAGUAUUCUUGAUACCUUUACCACGUCCACAUCCAUUGAUACCUUCACGGUAAUAAUUUUGUCUUCUUUCAUACUUAUCACAUAUGCUAUCACAUUCUCUUAAGGGAAUGAGAAUGAAACAAAUUUAAUGGGACGAGUUUUUAAUUCUUUGCCCAUAAUCAUAUAUGAAUUUGAUCAUAGCAAGACAUAAAAUUUUUAUUACAUUGGGCGGUAUAAUUUUUGUGAAACUCCGUUAGAGUUACAAUCAAACUUUAGAGUAAAAGAGAAAAAUACGAUAAAAUAUAUACCUUAAAUCCAGAAUUUAAUCAUGAAGGAAGUUUUUGGAGCAAUUGACAUAUGCUCAAUACCAAAGCUUCUACUCAAUUGGUUAGAAUCUCGCGCUGAUAACGUGUUAUAAAACAAUAAAAGAAGAAGAGUAUCGCAAAGAAAAGUAGGCCUCCUCUCCCUCACAAGGCUAGACUGAUCCCCGGAGGUGAAUCCAACAUUGAGCACGAUGACAUGCGACAGACAGAAUUCUUAUUGAAUUUUGAGAUCAAUUACAAUAAAAUAGAACCCCUUUAUUUAUAGGGAAAAGUAACUUAAUCACCAAAUAACAAACCUUAAAAUCUCUUUAAAUAUAGACAUUCACCAUAAAUACAAUUCUAUUUAUAUCAAAUAAUAUUCUAAAAUAAGCCCUUUAUGGGCCAUUUUUGUCAAUCACUAAGAAAGAAAGAAAACAUUUUGGCACAGCACAGAGAAGAAAAAAAACAGCUUUUUCUUUUCUUAAAACCUUUGCUGUAACACCCUUCUCUCAAUUUUCCUGUUUGGUCAAAUGACAAGUUACUCGCGGCACUUUUUCUGCUCUCACGCCGACCGUCACACCCGGGUCGUCAAGGUUUUCCUUGUUUGUUUGCUCAAUAAUUGUCUUUUCACUAUUUGAAGGCGACCGGUCUGUUGGUUUUGCUGAUUAUUAGUAAAUAAACUCAAAUUGAAAUCUACGUUGAUUGGUUGCCGAUGUUAGUAGUUUUGGAAGUGAAUAAAAUUUAACUGAUUGUUGAACUUGAGCAAAAAUGAGAUUUUUUUCAUUUUAAACUGGAUCAAUUACUAGCACUUCUCUUUUUAUUCUUUUGUGAAAUUUCAUUCUAUUAACUCAUAGUUCUAUUUUUUCCCUUUUUCUUUUUGCUAUGUAGUUGAAGUGGAAAUGAUAUAUUAAAGGAGUCUAAGAGCUAACGAUCAUUUCAGAGUAUGUGUUCAAGAUCCUUAAAGAGGCUGAGUUGAUUGAGCCUCUCAAAACUUAUCUUGAAGGUUAUUUUCGUUAACUUACUCUUACGUUGUUGAUCUCAGAAAUGAUUCAGUGCCUUUGUCUAGGGCUGUCAAAUUUGGCCCAAGUGACACGCCCAACCCCCGAAGGUUGGGUUGUUUAUUGACCCGCCCAUUUAUUGAAUUUAGCUCAUCUUGACCCAACUCAUCUCAACCCAUUUAAACUUGGGCUAAUUUUUAGCCCAAAUUGAUUCAUGAGUAAGUUUGUCAAAAUAUCUUAGAAAUAAUUUUUUUUAAUAUUUUAAAUAUGACCAUAAUAAAAGCAAAAAAACCUUAUUUAGUAACUAUAUAAUUUAUAAGAAAAUAAGACAUAUUAAUUAAAUUUUAGAGUUGGGCGGAUUGUGUUAUGACCCAAAUUUUAACCCAUCUUCACAAAACCCAUCUUAGGUCAAGUAACUUUUGGGCGGGUCAAUUUUGGCUCAACCCAUUUUGACCCGCCCAAAAUUGACCCAACCCACCCAUUUGACACCUCUACCUUUGUCGUGACAUUGAACGCUCGUUAUGAUAGGCAAGCUUUUCAUUUUAGUUGCAUAUAGUCAAGUGUCAACGUUAUGGUGAGAUAUCUAUGACUUAAAUGUGUUGUGUGCCAUUUAGGGUGUGUUUGGUAUAAUGGAAUUUGUUUUCCGUUUUCUUGGAAAACAAGAAGUAAUCUUAUUCAUUUUCCGGUGUUUGGUAUUCAAAUUAAGGAAAAUAAUUUUUCAAGAGUAUUCAUAAAUAAUUUGGAUAUAAUAAAUAUGAAGCCAUAACUUUCAAAGUAACAACCUUCUGGAUCCACAAAUUUCAUAAACUUUCGAACCGCUAAACAUUCAAAACAGCGAAAUUUCGAACCUGUAAACUUUAUAAUUUCUAAACCCGUAAACUUUCAAACACAUAAACCUUCGAACUCACAAUUUUACAACUUGUAAAAUUUUGAGUAUUUAACCGAUAAAUAAUAAAAUUAAAAUUGCAAAAUAUAUUUUAAAUUUUUUUUUGGAGGGGGGAGGGAGGGGCUGGGGGCAGUAAAACCAAAAAAAAAAAG